GGCCUAGCCGGCCGGUCCGCCUCACCGCGUGCACUGGCUGCGCUGGGUCUUUCCUUCUGGGGAACCUCAUGCCCUUCACUGGGUGUGCUGGGGAACCAGGACUUUUACCGUGAACAAAUCAGAUCGCUUAAAGAAGGCCUAUGCUCGAAUGCUCUAGCAUGGAAUAAUAGAAUAGGACGUGUGGUUCUAUUUUGUUGGUUUCUAGGACCGCCUUA
rnacentral:rRNA from 1 species